AUUUACAAUGAGAACUUCGACUUAUAACAGUUUUGUUCUAAUAGAGGAAUGAUGUACAGGUUUUUAGUUAAAUUUUCAUUUUUACUGAUUUUGUCACUUUUUGUUUUGUCAACCAGCGCUAGUGAUGGACUAAACUUUUGGGAUGCGAUGAAACAGCUUGAUGAGAUGAAUCGGGAAAUUUUACAGCAAAGAUCCUUUCACCAAAAAGAUACUGUAAAAAAAGUUUCAUCCACAACGCUGUUACAAGAACCAAACACACUACAUUCAACAACUCUCGGCUUUGACGAUAAAGUUACAACGAGUGAGACGGCUACAGUUCAUGACAAAUCACAAACGGAAAAAGUAAGCGCACGCCCGACUACAGAACAUGGGACUCAUGGGCCAAAAAUUAUUAGACAGAGUGAAGCAAUGAAACCUACUACCAGCAUAGAGUCUUCUAGUUUGUCACAUUUAACGUUUAGUACGGACUCCAAAUUGAAACCAAAUAUUUCAAGUACCCAUACUAAUUCAGUGCAUAAUACUAACGCGAAAAAGUUAACUUUUACCGUCAUGGAUGAACAAUUUUCUCGUGAUAUAUUGCUGUAUGCGGGUGUUGCAUGUGGUUCGGUUUUAGCAUGUAUUUGUAUUUUAAUACUGGUGAUACUUCGUCGCAAAAGAAGAGAAAGUCACAAAGAAAAACAUUUAGAAAAAAGAUUUUCUGCAACAGAUCAAAGAACGUACAAGGACACUAAGAUUUUUGUGAUGAGCAAAACAGAACAGGGAAACAGUAUUAUAAAUUCUUUCGACGCAAUACCAACUGAUACUAAUUUGUGGAAAGAAUUACAGAGUAGCACACCUAACGUUUUUUGAUAUGGAGGGAUUUAAGUUAUACUGUCGUUCAAAGUGAAGAAAAAAGAAUAUGCCAUAUAAUCGUUCUUUUAUAGCUUUCUAAACGGUAUUGGUUUUGCUCAUUAUUGAAGACCGUACGGUGACCUAUAGUUGUUUAUAUCCUAGUCACCCGUCACUGAUGGAUAGUUGUCUAAUUGGAAAUCAUACCACAUUUCAUUAUUAUUGUCAUGGUCAAUACUGCAGAAGUUUAUUUAAAUAUAUACAAUACGUCUACAAACUAUAUAUAUAUACACGACAAACGGUAAUGAUAAAAUACAUUUUAUAUCAACUUUACGUUUAACGAAAGUAUUAGCUUUCCGUUGCGUGUUUACAUUUUUUACAUGAUUUCUAUAUUUUGUGUGGUAGGAUGAGACCAAUUUUACAGGCUGAUCUUAGUUUUAUUCUUACUCAAAGCAAAUAAGUGUGAUGUUAGAAAAUCAUGUAGGCCCCUAAAUCCUUACUUAUUUUUAUGUUUGUUGGUUUAAUCCAUGUUAUAAUAUCUUACUCGAUAUUGUAUUGUGAAUGUGUACUGAAAUGUUUUUAUUGGCUGUUUUAUGUGAUUUUAUUACAAUUGUUAUCAAUAUAAAAGUUUACAUUAAAUGUUAAAAACCCUGUUUAUUUUUAGAAUAAAAUGUUUUACCUGUU